AUAUUUCGUCUGGGGUGCCUGAAACGGCUGAGAUUACACCCAUCGAACCUGAUGUAGUUUGUACUGCCGAAGGAAGAGCGAAUUUAAUGUUGA
rnacentral:ncRNA from 2 species